GAUGAACGCUGGCGGCAUGCCUAAUACAUGCAAGUCGAACGAGAGGAAGGAAAGCUUGCUUUUCUGAAUCUAGUGGCGAACGGGUGAGUAACACGUAGGUAACCUGCCCAUGUGCCCGGGAUAACUUCUGGAAACGGAUGCUAAAACCGGAUAGGUAGCAGACAAGCAUUUGACUGCUAUUAAAGUGGCUAAGGCCAUGAACAUGGAUGGACCUGCGGUGGAUUAGCUAGUUGGUGAGGUAACGGCCCACCAAGGCGACGAUGCAUAGCCGGCCGGAGAGGGCGGACGGCCACAUUGGGACUGAGACACGGCCCAAACUCCUACGGGAGGCAGCAGUAGGGAAUUUUCGUCAAUGGGGGGAACCUUGAACGAGCAAUGCCGCGUGAGUGAGGAAGGUCUUCGGAUCGUAAAGCUCUGUUGUAAGAGAAAAACGACAUUCAUAGGGAAUGAUGAGUGAGUGAUGGUAUCUUACCAGAAAGUCACGGCUAACUACGUGCCAGCCGCCGCGGUAA
rnacentral:rRNA from 1 species